GCUUGUAGAAUUUCCUAAACACUCUAAAUGCACCACUUCCCAUCUAAUUUUAGAGGCUAAGCAGGGUCAACUCUGGUUAGUACUUGGAUGGUAGAUCACUAAUGAGUUCCAGAUGCUAUAGGCU
rnacentral:rRNA from 11 species